UUAAAUGGCCGCAGUAAUUUGACUGUGCAAAGGUAGCAUAAUCAUUAGUUUUUUAAUUAGAAGCUAGAAUGAAUGGUCGGACGAGAUAUAAUCUGUCUCUAGGUAAUAAAUAGAAUUUAAUUUUUAAGUUAAAAAGCUUAAAUAAUAAUAAAAGACGAGAAGACCCUAUAGAUUUUUAUAUUAUUGAUUGUAUUAUAGAUUAAGAUUAUUUUAUUUAUUAUAUUUAAUAUUAUUUUAUUGGGGUAAUAAGGAGAUUAAAUUAAUUCUCUUGUUUAUUUUACAAUAAUGUUUGAUUUAUUUGAUCCUUUUAUAGAGAUUAAAAGAUUAAGUUACCUUAGGGAUAACAGCGUAAUUUUUUUGAAGAGUUCAUAUCGAUAAAAAAGUUUGCGACCUCGAUGUUGGAUUAAAAAUUAUUCUAGGAGUAGAAGUUUAGAAAUUUGGUCUGUUCGACCAUUAAAUUUUUACAUGAUCUGAGUUCAGACCGGUGUAAGCCAGGUCGGUUUCUAUCUUUAUUUAGUGAAUAUAUUUUAGUACGAAAGGACCAGAUAUUUAAUAUAUUGAUAUUUAUUUUUUGAAUAAUAUUGUUACUUUGGCAGAUUAGUGUAAUAAAUUUAGAAUUUAUGAAUGUAAAUAUUUUACAAGUAAUAUUGUUUUAUUUGGAUUUAUUAAUUUUGAUAGUUAGUAUAUUAUUAUUAGUAGUUUGUGUAUUAGUUGGUGUAGCUUUUUUGACUUUA
rnacentral:rRNA from 1 species